UACGUAGGGGGCUAGCGUUGUCCGGAUUUACUGGGCGUAAAGGGCGCGUAGGCGGCGCAACAAGUCACUUGUGAAAUCUCCGGGCUUAACCCGGAGCGGCCAAGUGAUACUGUCGUGCUAGAGUGCGGAAGGGGCUACUGGAAUUCUCGGUGUAGCGGUGAAAUGCGUAGAUAUCGAGAGGAACACCUGCGGCGAAGGCGGGUUGCUGGGCUGAUACUGACGCUGAGGCGCGAAAGCCAGGGGAGCGAACGGG
rnacentral:rRNA from 1 species